GCUUCGGUGGUGCAGUGGUUAGAGCACGCAUCCCCGGAUAGGAUGAACGCGGGUUUAAUUCCCGCCUGAGGCC